rnacentral:lncRNA from 1 species
CCGCACUGCUGUCCCCACUGCGGGGGUUCUUCUGAUUCAGGGACAGAAUGAAGUUCUUCGAGGAGGCCGAUGAAGACAGAAUAUGGAUAAGGCCAAACCUACACAAAAUCCUUCUACAUCUUCAUAUCAAAACAUGUUAAACAUAAACCUCCAAAUACCUACAGGGAUACAAGCACAGGGCUUCCUAAACAGGCGGGAUAUGCAGCCUCGUUCUAUCCCAGGCCCACACAGAAAGUGUUGGGGGAGUCACUGAAGGAAGGAGGAGAAAGAGCUCAGAAGAAGCCAUAAGAGAGCAAGACAUGGACAGGAAACCAAGUGGCCCCAGCGCCCCGCAGGAGAGCUCAGACUCCAGGGCUGGGGUGGCGCAGAGCGGGGCGUGUGGAGCGCAUGCCUGCGAGGGGCCUACGAGGCGGCUGCGAGGCAUAAGGUUCUGUGAGCCCGGUGUGAGCUGGCAGAUGUUACCACAGGACAAAAUUAGAAUGUGUAACUUGUAAAACAGCAGAGAAAAACUUGAUUUCUCCCAUGUAAAACAAGAAUGUAGGAAAAUGAAACAAAUGGAAAAUAAAUAAUAUGGAGAUUAAGUUCCAGUAGACAAUAGUUCAAUGGAUAUUUAUAGAUGAGUAAACUGACUAAUGAAAAAGAAUUCUUAGAUUGAACUUUUUAAAAAUAAAGAUCCGGCCAGGCGCGGUGGCUCACACCUGUGAUCCCAGCACUUUGGGAG